CUGGUUGAUCCUGCCAGUAGUCAUAUGCUUGUCUCAAAGAUUAAGCCUUGCAUGUCUAAGUACAUGCCGAAACAAGGCGAAACCGCGAAUGGCUCAUUAAAUCAGUUAUGGUUCCUUAGAUCGUUUCUUCCUACUUGGAUAACUGUGGCAAUUCUAGAGCUAAUACAUGCAGCGAGCCCGAAGCCCCUCGGGGCGACGGGUGCUUUUAUUAGACCAAGAUCAAUCGGGCUUUGGUCCAUUUUGUGUGGUGACUCUGGAUUACUUUGUGCUGAUCGCACGGCCACGAGCCGGCGACGUUUCUUUCAAGUGUCUGCCUUAUCAACUGUUGAUGGUAGGUUUCUCGCCUACCAAUGGUUGUUACGGGUAACGGAGAAUCAGGGUUCGAUUCCGGAGAGGGAGCCUGAGAAAUGGCUACCACAUCCAAGGAAGGCAGCAGGUGCGCAAAUUACCCACUCCCGUCACGGGGAGGUAGUGACGAAAAAUAACAAUACGGGACUCUUUUGAGGCCCCGCCCCGUAAUUGAAAUGAGUACACUGUAAAUCCUUUAACGAGGAUCCAUCGGAGGGCAAGUCUGGUGCCAGCAGCCGCGGUAAUUCCAGCUCAAUUAGCGUAUACUAAAGUUGCUGCUGUUAAAAAGCUCGUAGUUGGAUCUCAGUUACAGGCGGGAAGUGCGUGGACACCACGUUACGGCCCGUGCUGAACAUCAUGCCUGUCGUGGCAUGGUUUCUUCAUCAGGUGCCUUGCUUUGACAAAAUUAGUGCUCAACGCAGGCGAUUCGCCUGAAUAAUAUUGCAUAUUGCAAUAAUAGUGCAUGGAAUAAUUGAACAAGGUUCUGUUUCUGUUCUGUUGGCUUUAGAGCGCAGCUCUUAGGCUCCCGUUUCCGGCUUGACCGGCGUCGCCGUCGGCGUCGCCGUUGCCGUCGCCAUCGCCGUUGGCGUAACCAAGGUCACCCCAAGGUCACGUGGCCCUCCAAGGUCACGUGACCCUUCACGGUCACGUGACUCUCCCCCGAGGUCACGUGACCCCCCCUGAGGUCACGUGACCCCCCGCCGAGGUCACGUGACCCUCCGGUAAUAAGGUAAUAAAAUGAAAUGAAAAAUGAAAUGAAAUGACGUCAUCGUCACUGAUGACGUCACCGGCAUCCGCAUCAUCAUCGUCAUCAUCAUUGAUGACGUCAUCGUCACUGAUGACGUCACCGGCAUCCGCAUUGUCAUCGUCAUCAUCACUGAUGACAUCAUCAGUGACUUCACUAAUGUCGUCACCGUCAGCCGCAUCGUCAUCGCCAUCAUCACUGAUGACGUCACCGACAUCCGCAUCGUCAUCAUCACUGGUGAUGUCAUCAGUGACGUCACUAAUUACGUCAUCGGUAUCCGCAUCGUGAUCGUCACUGAUGACGUCAUCAGUCACGUUACUGAUGACAUCAUCGGCAUUGUCAUCGUCACGUGACCCCCCAAGGUCACGUGACCCCCCCCCCCCCCCCCAGUACCCUUCCCUCCUCCUCCUCAAGAGCUGUGCUCUAAUUCGGCGUUACAGGGAGUUGUAAACGGCUUUCACUUUUUGGAAGGUGAUGUUUUUGAUGAUUUAUUGAGGCUCAGCCAUUAACCGGGAGGUUUGUCCACUAUCUCACAGAAGAUGGAUAUCCUCCGUUAAAAAAAAAAGACAAGAGAGGUACGCAUUUUUUUUUUAAAUUUUUCACACACACAAUUUUUGUGAUUAAGAGGGACAGACGGGGGCAUUCGUAUUGCGCCGCUGGAGGUGAAAUUCUUGGACCGUCGCAAGACGAACUACUGCAAAAGCAUUUGCCAAGAAUGUUUUCGUUGAUCAAGAAAGAAAAGUUAGAGGUUCGAAGGCGACCAGAUACCGCCCUAGUUCCAACCAUAAACGAUGCCAACCAGCGAUCCGCCUGAGUUACUCAAAUGACUCGGCGGGCAGCUUCCGGGAAACCAAAGUAUUUGGGUUCCG
rnacentral:rRNA from 1 species